GCCAGGUGUGGUAGUGCACACCUGUAAUACCAGUAGCUUAGGAGGCUGAGACAGGAGAAUUGCAAGUUCAAAGCCAGCCUCAGCAACCACGAGGUAAUAAGCAACUCAGUGAGAUCCUGUCUCUA
rnacentral:sRNA from 1 species